rnacentral:lncRNA from 1 species
CUGAAUAGCUGAGAGGCGCACCCGGGCGGCCAGCUGGGCUCGGAGUGCAGCGGGGUUAGGAUGGACGAGGACGUGUUGCACCCUGAAGAGCCUCAUCAUCGCCUGCUCUUGAGGUUCACAGAUGAUACCUUUGAUCCAGAACUUGCAGCAACAAUAGAUCCAUCUUCGGUUGUGAAUCCGGCCCGGAAUGCAGCCACCCCUUAGAGCAACCCCCCUUGCUGCUCGUGCCCUGCUGUGCUACUGCCUCAGUCACUUCCUGCUUGGUCAAGACCACAGCUGCUGAUGUCACAGCUGAGGCACAUCAGAAAGGCUGCCUGAUUCAAAGAAAGCUGCCGGAUAAAUCAUAGAGCACAGACACUUCUACCUCAUGCUCUUAUGGGACUUUAGGAACCAAACAUAAGCACCUAUGGAAAAUGCACGGCGGUCUUGAAAGGCUGUGGUCUUUAUCAGAAAAUAUCUGAAUGACUGUUUGUUAUGUCAGUCCUACUCUGCAGGCUUGCUAAGAUGAUGAUUGAAAGGGCUCUUGGUUUCUGCUUUGGAAUCUGGCAUUUAUGUUUUGAAGCGUUGUGAGCAAGCGAUGUGGCAGAUUGCAGGGUGAGGGGGACAAACCUGGGCCAGGAGCCAGGGGUUUCUCUACCCCCUUCCCUGACUUACAGCUGGAACUGGGCUCAGUGGUUUCAGCCUCAUUUGCUAAGAAGGUCUGGGUAUGUAAUCCUGGCUGCAUCUUAAAAUCCCUAGGAGCUUUUAAGACAUAUUGACACAUAAGCUCUAACUCACAUGAAACGAAAACACAUCUCUGGGGCUGGGCUGAGCAAAUGCAUUUUUUAAAAGGCCCCUCAGGUGAUUCUGUCUCAGAGAUGUUGAAAACCAGUGGGUUAGGAGCUCAGUCAUCCACUUUCAGAUCUGUGAUUAUGCCACUAUUAAAUACAGUUGGCUAUCACAUAGAUUUUAUGCUUUAGCUUGUUCUUUUUUCCUUUGCUAUACCAAAUAAAAUCUUCUGAGCUGUAGUUCCAGUCCUUAAAAUAAUGGUUGUUACCAUACUGAGGUUAAACAUUAGUGCAUUUGCUUAACAAGGACUUUAAAACUUAUCACACUGCCAUAAUUUUUAAUGGUUUCUAUAAUGAUUAAUUAAUAAGAAAAUCAAUAAUUGGAUUUUAAGCAGGAAACUAGGCAGGAAAGUUGAAAUUCAUAGACCAAUUCAAUGGAAAACAUUAAAAUGUAUUGGGAGAUGCCCAAUAUUCUA